rnacentral:rRNA from 1 species
UACGUAGGGGGCAAGCGUUGUCCGGAUUUAUUGGGCGUAAAGAGCGUGUAGGCGGCCAUACAGGUCCGUUGUGAAAACUGGAGGCUUAACCUCCAGACGUCGAUGGAAACCGUAUGGCUAGAGUCCGGAAGAGGAGAGUGGAAUUCCUGGUGUAGCGGUGAAAUGCGCAGAUAUCAGGAAGAACACCCGUGGCGAAGGCGGCUCUCUGGGACGGUACUGACGCUGAGACGCGAAAGCAUGGGGAGCAAACAGG